CAAUUAACUGGGAACUUGAAACUAUACCAGCUGUUUUUUACGAGGAUGUUAUUCUAAAGUGCACACUCCCGCUGAACUGUUGCAAGAUAAUGCAGUCUCGAAGGUGGCUGGGAGGGAAUGAUCUACAUUUACUGACAAUGAACGGGUUUUCUAUCAAUACUAGCAAAUAUUCUGAAGACUUCAAUAAAGAGAAUAAAACUUCAAUCUUAAUUAUACAUCAUUUUGAUAUCAUGGACAUUAAUAUCCCAUAUGAGUGUAUUUAUGGAUCCUCAACCUUUGUGAAAAUUCUGAAUUUGACAGAAGAUAUAUUUGAAUAUCACAAGUCUGGACCAUAUGUUGGGAGUAUCAAUAUUACUGAUACCAACGUUUUAUCUGUUGAUAUAUCUAUUGAAACAGUGUAUCCACGACCAAAAUGUUCGGCUGCAAUUAACGAUGAAGAUAUUUCAUCGUACAUGACGACAACUAAAAUUCUGAAAGGACUCUUCUUCUGUGCAAUUAUAACAGGAACAUUCUUAUUGACACCAGCAAGUUGUCCGGGUUUACUCAGUAUAACUUGUGAAAUAGGAACAUACCUAUUAGACUAUGAGAAAAACAUAACUUGUAAUAGGAUUAUUAGCGACGAAA